AACCUGAGCCCAUUGACUGGGAGUACUACAUGAAAGGAAUUGGGUCUUGAUUGGUGGAUAUAUACAAAGAGGCCUAUGAAAGAGUCCAUUCCUUCAACUUACUUGGUUUGGGAUAUCAAGUGAACUGGCCCAUUAGCUUUGUUUUGACUCCUGGUGCAUUGAAAAUAUAUGCCGAGAUACUCAGUUUUUUGAUACUAGUGAAACUUGCUUUGUUUUCAUUGACUGAUGUGUGGCGCCAAUUGAAGGGUUGAUGAAAUAAAAAUCACUAAUGCUUUACAAUAUGCAGCUAGUAUUGAGUACGUUAUAAGGUGGAGUACCAAUAUUAGUCUUUGUUCAAACUGGGGUUGCAUCAGCUGAUUCUCCAAAUGAGGCCCUUCCUUUUAAUUGCAGACCAAAUAUUGGUGCUGCGCAGCUGACCAAAGAUAAAUUCAAGACUCUGAUAAAUAUAAAGAUGUGCACACAUGAAGAGGUGAGGUAAGAAAUGAUAAUCCACCAAGCAAAGCUGUAAUUUCUAGUGUAAUUCUCUACUCUCUGAGAUCGCAGUCCCACUUUCACUUUCUCCUAUCCCUAUUCUACUUUCACAAGGCUUUCUCUAUCACCAUUGUCAUGCUCUUCAAAUAGUUCCUUUACUUUCGCAAAGACAUCUCUGCAAAUUCUUUGAGUUUUGAAAUCUCUCACGACCUCAAGAAACCUUUCAUAUAUGUCUCUUUGGUUGGAAAAUUAAAGGGUAAGAGUAAUUGUUGCCUUAGCACGUGCAAGGUACUAUCUAUAAAAUUUCAUUGUAGUUAUCCUAUAUGAUGCAUCUCAGACAUGUCUGAUUUCUGCAAUUGUUUCUAUAUAGGUAUUGCCUUUGGAUAUUGGGGAAUGCGUCAACUUUGAUUUCAUUGUUCAAGAAUAUGAAAUUCUCCCUCUAUAUGGAGCUUCUUUCCGUAGUCCAUGAGUGGACAUUUAAGUGAUAUUCUGGAGCUUUCUUGAGUGGAAGAUUGCUUGGUUUUACUUUGUGUUGUAUCAUGCCAAUGAGUUGUUAGUACUAACAGAUAAGCAAAUAGUUGCCAAGGUGACAUCUUACCUGUCAAAGUGCAUCAAGGACUUCGAGAAUGCUGCUGUGAUAAAUAAGGACAAGUUUUAUGUUUUCCGGCUUUAUGUAUUUAUGUAUUUAUAUGCACUUAGGGAAUGGUAAUUCCUAUGUAAAUGUUGAGAUGAAUAUUGCUGAUGGAAUGAAAUUAUUUUUGGA